AUGGAAUUAACCAUUCUUCUAGAGGCCAUUCAGCCGUCAAGCGAACGAGACAACUUUCGAUGGAAUCUGCAUCAGAACGGCAGAUUUUCAGUCAAGUCCUUGUACGAUGCACUGGCUCAUAGUGAUGUUCUGGUUGAUAACAAAAGAUUAUGGAAGCUCAAAAUACCUCUAAGAGUGAAGAUAUUCCUCGUGUUUCUGAGUAGAGGCGUAAUCUUAACAAGAGAUAACCUGGCAUGAUGCAACUAGCAAGGUAGCAAGACAUGUGUCUUCUGCCAGUGUGACGAGUCUAUUAAACACUUAAUCUUUUGA
rnacentral:rRNA from 1 species